GGUGAAAUGCGCAGAUAUCAGGAGGAACACCGAUGGCGAAGGCAGGUCUCUGGGCAUUAACUGACGCUGAGGAGCGAAAGCAUGGGGAGCGAACAGGAUUAGAUACCCUGGUAGUCCAUGCCGUAAACGUUGGGCACUAGGUGUGGGGGACAUUCCACGUUUUCCGCGCCGUAGCUAACGCAUUAAGUGCCCCGCCUGGGGAGUACGGCCGCAAGGCUAAAACUCAAAGGAAUUGACGGGGGCCCGCACAAGCGGCGGAGCAUGCGGAUUAAUUCGAUGCAACGCGAAGAACCUUACCAAGGCUUGACAUGAACUGGAAACACUCAGAUAUGAGUGCCCCGCUUGCGGUCGGUUUACAGGUGGUGCAUGGUUGUCGUCAGCUCGUGUCGUGAGAUGUUGGGUUAAGUCCCGCAACGAGCGCAACCCUCGUUCCAUGUUGCCAGCGGGUUAUGCCGGGGACUCAUGGGAGACUGCCGGGGUCAACUCGGAGGAAGGUGGGGACGACGUCAAAUCAUCAUGCCCCUUAUGUCUUGGGCUUCACGCAUGCUACAAUGGCCGGUACAAUGGGUUGCGAUACUGUGAGGUGGAGCUAAUCCCAAAAAGCCGGUCUCAGUUCGGAUUGGGGUCUGCAACUCGACCCCAUGAAGUCGGAGUCGCUAGUAAUCGCAGAUCAGCAACGCUGCGGUGAAUACGUUCCCGGGCCUUGUACACACCGCCCGUCAAGCCACGAAAGUUGGUAACACCCGAAGCCCAUGGCCUAACCCGUUUACGGGAGGGAGUGGUCGAAGG
rnacentral:rRNA from 1 species